rnacentral:rRNA from 1 species
CCUACGGGGUGCUGCAGUGGGGAAUAUUGGACAAUGGGCGAAAGCCUGAUCCAGCCAUGCCGCGUGUGUGAAGAAGGCCUUCGGGUUGUAAAGCACUUUCAGUGGGGAAGAAAGCCUUGGGGCUAAUACCCUCGAGGAAGGACAUCACCCACAGAAGAAGCACCGGCUAACUCCGUGCCAGCAGCCGCGGUAAUACGGAGGGUGCGAGCGUUAAUCGGAAUUACUGGGCGUAAAGCGCGCGUAGGCGGUCUGAUAAGCCGGUUGUGAAAGCCCCGGGCUCAACCUGGGAACGGCAUCCGGAACUGUCAGGCUAGAGUGCAGGAGAGGAAGGUAGAAUUCCCGGUGUAGCGGUGAAAUGAGUAGAGAUCGGGAGGAAUACCAGUGGCGAAGGCGGCCUUCUGGACUGACACUGACGCUGAGGUGCGAAAGCGUGGGUAGCAAACAGGAUUAGAUACCCGUGUAGUC